CCCCACACAAAAAAAAUCUCACUCUCUUUCCCUCUAACUCCAAAGAACUUAUGGCCACCAUCCACCACCAAGUUUUCCAGCGCCACACAAUAUUAGAUUUUUUUUUAAAGAAAAGAUUGUUUUUUGCGAAUUUCGCCCCACAUAUCUUUAAUUUGUGCUUAAUGAGUUUCAUAAUGAAAUUUAAUUUUGUUUUUGGCUUCUAAUUUUGUGAUUAGGGAUGGUGUUUGCGAGUGAAAUGGGAGUUUGUUGGCAAAAUGUGACAACUUGAAGUUCAGUUGAUAUUAAUUUCCUGAUCUGCAUCUUUAUUUCAGGAAAAGGAACUUGGGAGGCCAAUAACUCAGGCUGAGACAUUCAAGGAUAUACACACAAGGAAGAAGAAAAUCCCUGGAGAUCCUGAUGUUUUGAGCCACAAGCUAAGCUGACCUAUAAUUCAAUCCACUGCUUGCUUCGGGGGAUUCUCCUUUUUCCCGAUGAUGUAGGACGUCCUUCUCGACCUCCCUUGUCUCUAUCUAUUUCACAUGGAGUAUAUGGUCAAUACAAAGGUGUGACUGAGGACCCCAACAGUGAUGAAGAUGAUGAAGAUUACUAUGUGGACAAUACACCGUCACGUUGUUAAAGUUAAAUGUUGUGUUAAAUAUUCUAAACGGUAUACUUUAUGGUGGUUUAUUUGAAUUAUUAAGUAUUUUUGAAUGCAGUAAAACUUUAAAGUAAUUUGAACAAUAGUAUUGUAUAAAUAACUUAUAUUUUCUA